GACGAACGCUAGCGGGAUGCUUUACACAUGCAAGUCGAGCGAGCGGCGGACGGGUGAGUAAUGUAUGGGGACUGCCCGAUAGAGGGGGAUAACUACUGGAAACGGUAGCUAAUACCGCAUACUAUCGGAUAACCCAUAUGGGAUUAGCUAGUAGGUGAGGUAAUGGCUAACCUAGGCGACGAUCCCUAGCUGGUCUGAGAGGAUGUUCAGCAACACUGGAACUGGGAAAGGUCCCAGACCCCUCGGGAGGCAGCAGUGGGGAAUAUUGCACAAUGGGCGCAAGCCUGAUGCAGCCAUGCCGCGUGUAUGAAGAAGGCCCUAGGGUUGUAAAGUACUGUCAGUCGGGAGGCGUUACCGACAGAAGAAGCACCGGCUAACUCCGUGCCAGCCGCCGCGGUAAUAC
rnacentral:rRNA from 1 species